GGAACACUUAGUUUCUUUAACACGCACGCUGCACACGUUUAUCCAUGCGAGUGCCCCCCAUUAGCACACAGCGAGUCCUGGUCUUGAUCCAUGAAGUUCGUUGACAAUACUAACAACCUAUCUCAGAGUUGAGAAGACCCCACGACUUUGUGAGCUUCGAAGAUGACAGCAAAACGUGAUGGACUUCUAACUGACAGAAGGCAUUUGACGAAUUUAACCAUACAGUAGCGGGAAGGUGAUUGAACGAUACUACAACUUGCCAGUCAGUCAAACUUUAGUAAGUUCAAUUUUCAUGUUCGACUUCGGCGCCUUCUCCAGCCAUGCCACGAGGCUAGGCUCUUCUCGGUAGUGAUGCCGGAGGUGAAAGCAAGUACGUAUAAGAUAUAGGUUCCUUUCUAAUACAAUUUUUUUAGAAAUUAUAAUACAAAGUUGCAGGCCAAAAGCAAGUUGUGGAGCCACCAACUUCGCUUCGCAUCUCACAUAACAAAACAAAACGGAGAGGAACUAAAGGUAAUGAUAUUUCCAGCUAAAAAUAUCCAAACUGAGAGCCCACCACACGUUUCGUCUAGAUGAUGGAUACUAUGUUUCGAUAAGAGAUGUACAAUGCACUGAAAAUAAGGUGGGAUUUAUGCUAGAUACCUGGUGGGAAGUGAAGUGCAAAACUAGGCACUUUAAGAACAAAAUUGCUUCUCAGCGUAAGGGAAACAUCCCCUAGACAGCAAAUCUA